UACGUAGGGGGCAAGCGUUGUCCGGAUUUAUUGGGCGUAAAGAGCGUGUAGGCGGCCAAGCAGGUCCGCUGUGAAAACUCGAGGCUCAACCUCGAGACGUCGGUGGAAACCGUUUGGCUAGAGUCCGGAAGAGGAGAGUGGAAUUCCCGGUGUAGCGGUGAAAUGCGCAGAUAUCGGGAAGAACACCCGUGGCGAAGGCGGCUCUCUGGGCCGAUAUCGACGCUGAGGAGCGAAAGCGUGGGGAGCGAACAGG
rnacentral:rRNA from 1 species